CAAAUAAUAAAAAUCACUAAACCUUCAUGGAAAUAUAUAAGAAAGUUACUUCAUUUAUUUUAUAACGAAAUAAAUACAAGGGGAAACAGAAUAGAGAGGAACUGUCUCUAAGGCAGCCUGCACCAGGUUGAUAAAAUCUGAUAGUUGUAGCAACUCUAGGUGGGAAUAAAGAAAAUUACAUGAUUCAGCCUACAGUUAUUUAAAAUCAUUCCAUUACAAUUUCCUUUGGAACAGCUUUGAGAGGCUGAGCCAUUUGUAAAGAGAGGGCAAACUGUCUUCCAAGUUCAUAGUCUCAGGUACAACUCCAUCUUCAAGCUUCCAAUCAAAGCAGUUAAUGAGUGAACCCAGCAUCAAGUGCAACAUUCUCAUUGCCAAUGGCAAACCUGGACAGAUUCUCCUCCCAGCCCCAAACGGAAGAAGUUCAAAAAUUUUUCCCAUAACAUCAAUUUGGUUCUCUAAUCCUAAGAACCUCUCCGGCAUAAAAGAGUUUGGAUUGUCCCAAAUGUUGGGGUCUCUGCUCAUGGCCCAAACAUUAACUACAACCAGUGCACCCUUCGGGACAAUUUAUUCCCCUAUUUCUACAUCAGUUUCAGCUUUUCGUGGUAGCAAUGGACCUACUGGGCGCAAGCGAAAGGUUUCCUUGAUUAUUGCUUGUAAGUAAGGGAGUCUAGCAAUAUCGGAUUCCUCGAUUGGUUUUCCUUUUCCAAUCAUUUGAUCCAGCUCUUCUUUAGCUUUAGAAAGGCACUUUGGGUUGUGUAGUAGCUCCGCCAUUGCCCAUUCCAAUGCUGAACUUGUUUCUGUACCCGCAACAAAUAGAACCUACACAUUCACCGUGAGUUAGUGACUACGUUUGGAAAGUAAUGUUAAACAGAGACAAGCGUGGCCCACGGAUCACAUUGUACCGAUUUUGUUAAACUUAACCACAUUUAAUUAAGGUGUUGGGUUUUAAUCACAAAAUGUCUCGAUACAAUUGAAUAAGGUCCAUCCACUUAUAAGUUAUAUUUUAUUUGUCAUUUUUCUGACGUGGGAUCUAUUCCUCUCCAAUACUUCCAACAAGUAAAACCUGCUGUGCACUUUGAAUCUUUAUCAAAUUGAAGAUGUCAUCAUUUAGAGAACAAAUAAUCAGUAAUUAAGGUAUUAUUGAAGUGACUAUUCAAGAAGAACAGAAGAGUAGAUAGAGAGUGGACAGUAGACUAACCAUUAACAAAUAUUCAACAACUUUGGGGUUGUUCAAAUCUUCCUCAUUUUCCUCUUCUCUGAGGUCUAUUAGAGUAUCCAACAGAUCAUUACUUGUCACAUAAUCAUCCCUUUUUCUACAUUCCAACCGUUGACUGAUCACUGAUUCAAAUAAGCUUAACAUCUUGUUGUGGUAAAUUGUAAAGCUCCGCCUUCUGCCUUGGGGAUCAAUCUUCCUAAGCACAGGAAAAUAGUCCCCUAAAUUCGGUUUCCCAGCCUCUUCUAGCAUACCUUUAGCAUUCUUCUGAAACUCUUUAGUCAUCUCGCUGCUGCUACUCAAGUCAUCAUCAGCCAAAUCCACUGAGAGAACAGUUCUUGACAGCAAAUCAAGUGAAGUUUUGAAGGCAGCCUUUCCAAUAUCUACUGCCAAACCCUUUACCAUGCUGUCAUUGACACUAGCUAUGAGCUCUUGCACUUUUGCUCUCCGGUUUUCUUUGUUGGCAUCAAGAACUCUGGUGGUAAAGAGUUGGGAGGUGCAUAUUUUCCGCAGAUUUUUCCACCUUGGUGAUACUGGCAUCCACGGCAAGCUGUCAGCCGCUACUCGCAGCGCAUCUGGGAUUGGUUUGUUGCAGAACAAUUGGUCAUGGAUUCGGAGGAUUUCUUUGGCCAUGGUUGGUGAAGAAACUACUAUAGUGGUUAUCUGGCCUAGUUUCAAAGACAUAAUGGAGCCAUAGUGUUGUGAGAGCUUGGUCAAAGAGAUAUGAGGUUUGUCUCCAAGAUCAAAGAGAUUUCCAACCAAUGGAAAUGGCUUUGGUCCUGGUGGAAGCCUAACUUUGGUUCUUCUAUGGAGGGCUUGGAUUAAGAAGCAGGAGAUAAAGCACAGACACAACAGUGUACCAGACAAGAAGUCCAUCUUUCGCUAACAAAUUAGCUUCAUUCACAACUCCAACGCCAACUCUCUUUGAGCUUAACUUAUAGGAUGAGUUGAGCUAGAAUGCUAGAUCAUGAAUUAUGGACGGUGUAUUCACAUGUGGUAUAGAUUUGCAAGGAAAAGUUUCUCUUUCUCAAUUAAUCAAUUUCAUGUUAGAAAAAUUGGUUAUGAAAUUAAAUGUAGUGAGAGGCUGAUAAUCCCCUCCUAUCCUCGAUCAUCAAGCUAUGAGAAAAGGUGCAAUAUGCCUCUUACAGCUUGGUCGACUCUUCUUCAGCCAUACUUCAACCAUGUCUCCAUCAGAUAUAGUAAAAUCUGGAUUGAAUCAUUGAAAUUUAAACAAAAAGACAGAAAAACUUAUGAGGAAGACCUAUAAAUCACCACCUAACAGCUAACCGAGCCAGCAACUACAACUAGUAUUUCAUAUAUAACCGGCAAGAGCCGCAGGAUGCUUACCAUUCUCUACGAAUGCGCAACCCAUUGUGGAAUUAUGUGUUCUGCAACAUUUCAUGAUUAACAGAAUAGUUAAAUGAAUGAAUCAGUGCCAUCUUAGGAUGUUGUGUUGAUAUCUGAGUAUUUCUCCUUGAAAUGCUUUUCCUGUAGUGUCUUUUUUUUAUUUUCUUGUUUUUCAGACUAUCUUGAACUAACUCAGUGCAUAUGUUUGUGAAAUCUUCUUAUAAAUGAUCACUAACAUAUAGAUUCUUUUAUUGUUUGAUAUGAUCAAAAAUGUAAAAUUGAGGAGCAGUGGGAGCAACGUCUUGCGGAAUUAUAACUUAUACUUUUGAGUCUUAUAUUGUUGCAAUCAUUUUGCACUUUUGCUGUUAAUUGUAUGAUCUACAGAUCCAUGAUACAUUAUGAAUGAACAAAAUUUUGAUUGAGUUUUGAUUAUAUCUCAAUAGCGUUGUAUCAUUAUCUUCAUGCCUAUAUAAUAUUUAUCUGCAAAGGACGUGUAUAGAACUACUUAUGUUUGAGGUUAUCAUGAAUCAGCCCUGAGUUUGAGAUAUAGUUAUUGGUAUUGGUUUAUACAUUCAUGUUUAUGACUUGAAAUAUCUAACAAUUAAUCUAUGCUAACAAUUGAUCUGUGCUAACUGCUAAGGGUAAACCCAGAAAUUACUGAUGGGUAAAAACAUCCCUCCUUAUUUGGAGGAGAAGUCGAUUGCCUCAUGCCCAUCAAUCUACAAUGAGGCAAGUUGUUAUUCUAUAGCUAGCGUAGUUGGUGCAGCAUGCAUUUGUUGAAAUGCAAGAGAGCAACCUAUGUAUAUAGAUGUGGUGGCCGGCUGCAAAUAUUGAAAUGGAAGAGCAUACAUUAAUGUGGUAUGAAAACAUUGAGCAUGAAAUAAGGAAGACUUGUGGAAUUCUCUUCCAAGUGAUGGACGUGCAUGAAGAUAGCAUGCAUAUAUUUGCAUAUAUAAAGAGGCAUUUACAAUGGUGCAAAAUAUAGAAGAAUCGGAGCUCAUCUUGUGUGAUCAUCAAGAGUGAGAUAGAAAACUCUUAAGUAGAGAGUCUGUGUGUGUAGCAAAACAAAGUGUGUGUGAGAGUGUAUCCCUUCAAGUGUGAGUCUUGAGGCUAAAAACAUCCGUCCUUAUUUGGAGGAGAAGUCAAUUACCGUAUGUCCAUCAAUCUACAAUGAGGCAAGUUGCUAUUCUAUAGCUACCAUAGUUGGUGCAACAUGCAUUUGUUGAAAUGCAAGAGAGCAACCUAUAUAUAUAGAUGUGGUGGCCGGCUGCAAAGAUUGAAAUGGAAGAGCAUGCAUUAAUGUGGCAUGAAAACAUUGAGCAUGAAACAAGAAAGACUUGUGGAAUUCUCUUCCAAGUGAUGGACGUGCAUGAAGAAUGCAUGCAUAUAUUUGCUUAUAUAUAGAGGCAUUUGCAAUGGUGCAAAAUAUAGAAGAACCAGAGGUAAUCUUCUGUGAUCAUCAAGAGUGAGAUAGAAAACUCUUAAGUAGAGAGUUUGUGUGUGUAGUAAAACAAAGUGUGUGUGAGAGUAUAUCCCUUCAAGUGUGAGUCUUGAAGUAGUGUUUCUCUCGCUGUAACCUUUAUUCGUAUAGUGGAGGUUUUUUGUUGUUGUUGCCACGUGGACAUAGGCAUUUUGCCGAACCACGUUAAUUUUCGGUGUUCUUUAUCAUUUUAUUUCCGCUACAUUUUACAUUUGUGGUUUUGAGUUUCCGAUUUCAUUCUACAGUUUAUUCUUCUGCAUAACCCAACAACUACUGCAUUUAUGUUGUUGUCUUACUUUAUGCUGCCAAGGUAGUUGUGUAUGCAAAGUGAUAUGCUGAAUUGCUGAUACAUGUUAUAAAGUAUAUUUUGUGACUACUUGUAUUUUUAUUAAUUUUAAGAAAAUAAGAUAGUGUAUUUUAUUUAUUUUAUUUGUUUGUUUAGCAGUAAUUUAAAUUCAUAAUUAUGUGUGUAGUGUAUAUUUAUUUAUGUAUAUAUGUAAAUAUACCAGCCCAUUAAUUUUGUUUUUAGACCCAAGUCCAAUUUAAGAAAAAGCCCAAGACCAAUAGAUGACUUAAACUCAAGUCGACAUGAUACUCACAAUGGACUCAUUCAUCCCCAUUCUUGUGAGCUCAUCAGUCAUCAACGAACUUUCUCUCCGAAAUGUGCUUCCCGAUGCCUACUCUUCUCUUGAUAUGAGAUUCAGCUUGCUGUUUAUAGGAAAAAACAAUGGUUUGGUUUGCUAUUUUCUCUAAGUGACUCUCAGACAGGUUCAAAUUACCUUAAUUUCAUUUGCCAUUACUUUUCUCUGCUUCAUUUAUUGUUUAACGAAAUGUGAUCCCCUUAAUAAACAGCUUGAUCUAAUUUUGUGUAUGUCAAAUGAUGUGUCGUUCUAUACUUGUAUUAUUCAGACCACAUAUUUGCUCAAAAUAAUGAUGCAAUGGCCACCUAUUUUUGACGGAAGCAAUGGCCUCCUAUCUUCGACGGAAGCAAUGGCCUCCUAUCUUCGACGGAAGUAAUGAUCUCAUUAUCAAUACUCAAUAAUUCAGAUUGGUGCCUUGUACCACAAGCAACCUAACAGUGAGCAUAAGUCCUAGAUAUCAAACAUCCAUUUUACGUCUUUUUCCCUCCAUUCAUCAUAGUCGAAAAUUAGCCAUAGUCGAACUACUUAUGAAGGCGUUCCGAGUAGGGAAAGAAAAGCAGCCAUACUUGUAGUCUAUGACUGAGGGACGUACAUGCUGAUGGACUGCUGUAAAAGUAAUGAUCAGAGCUUCUUGCAAGCUGCAAAUAAUAAAAAUCACUAAACCUUCAUGGAAAUAUACAAGAAAGUUUACUUCAUUUAUUUUAUAACGAAAUAAAUACAAGGGGAAACAGAAUAGAGAGGAACUGUCUCUAAGGCAGCCUGCACCAGGUUGAUAAAAUCUUAUAGCUAUAGCAACUCUAGGUGGGAAUAAAGAAAAUUACAUGAUUCAGCCUACAGUUAUUUAACAUCAUUCCAUUACAAUUUCCUUUGGAACAGCUUUGAGAGGCUGAGCCAUUUCUAAAGAGACGGCAAACUUGUCUUCCAAGUUCAUAGUCUCAG
rnacentral:lncRNA from 1 species